ensembl:snoRNA
UGGAUCAGUGAUGUGAUUUCUGGGGUAUAUGAAUCAAGAACUUUGAUUAAACCCUAACACUGAGGUCUAU